UCCCAUAUAGUCCAGUGGUUAGGAUACUCCGCUUUCAUUCCCUUGAAGGCGCUCCGGAGAGACCCGAGUUCGAACCUCGGUGUGGGAA
rfam:Colletotrichum tofieldiae strain 0861 Ct_v4_contig2, whole genome shotgun sequence.